CUUUCAACACGCAUAGUCCUGCCAGGCUAUCUUUUAAGUUAUGCAUACCCAUGAGCCUUUGCUAAAUAUGCAAAUUGUUAACCCAAGACCCUGGAAAUUCACUGCCAGUCUGAGGAGACAAUAUUGACCUCAGUGGACAAAUCAUCUGAUUCACCAUACGGGAAGGUUCAUCAUUUCAUUGCACAGUUUGUCUGCUCUAGUCCCUCUAAAAUCAUCUGCUUUCAUCACUUGUUGCUCUGAUCAUCCAUCUAAAAGCCCAAUCUUGGGGAAAAAAAAGAAAUUCAUCAGCCUCUGCCUGUGUGAGGUUUAGGAAGGAAAGAAGAGCUUUGCUACUGGGCUGGCAAGAAACUUGGUGAAGCAUGUAGUGAGACACUUUGAGCUUAUUGCAUGAAGGAGGCUGAGUACGAUACUGUCAAGAAUUGGCAAUGGAAGCAGGUGUGCUAAAGAGAAGGAGAAAUCCACCUCCCUAUUUCAGCUGGUACCAAAGACACCCCCCCCCCCAUCUACUGUCAAUAUUGAGUGAAUAAAAGCAGUGAAGGUUUACCUCUGUUCUAUGGACUUUGUAGGGAAUGUGGAGAGGAUAUGCGAGGGUAAGUUUUCACAACCAGGCACAUUUGGCUGACGAAAAGAAAACUUUUCACUUUCGGCGUUUCAGGAAAUGACAUUACCGUGCUUGAAUUUACAAUUUAGCCGUGAAUGUGGCUAAAGCUUCUGGGCUCUGCCCUGGGAAGGCCCUUUUCACCAAUUUGAUUCAGACCCAACGAGAGAGCUGAAUUCUCAUUGAAAAGAUUGUCUCCCAUUCAGGGUCCUUUUUCAGCGUUCAAUUGCUGUCACUUUAACAGAAGACCCCUGCAUGUAGCUUCCUUUCGUUUUGUGUGCGCCCCAUUGGCAGCAGUGUGCAAAGGGUACACUGUGGCCUACUAAAAUGAAUUGCCGAAGCUCCUAAACAAUAGAGCUUUGUAGGGGAAAAACAGUGAAGUCACAGUUUCCCAGGCUCCCUCCUUCCCACUCUCCCUCUCUUUCACCCCUAGAUGCCUAGUAAUGAGGGGAACUGGGGGAGUGUGUUGCAGUGGCUUACUCUUAGACAAAAGAAAGAGGCCUUCCAAGUAAUUCAAAGGGCAUCUUUAGGUCUACAGCCAGAUUGUGGAAGGGUCCCCUUCUCCCCACCCCCACCCCCACCACAGCAGCUGGUUUUUUGUUGUUGUUGUAGGUGCUUGAAGACAACAAUCAUUAAUCCAGAGAAUGUUUAUUUCACCAACAAAACAAAAUCAGUUUCUCCUCCUCUACAGUUCUAGAAACCCUUGCAACCAACACGUGGCUAUUGUUACCUUAGUGGUAGCAA